rnacentral:rRNA from 1 species
UACGUAGGGGGCAAGCGUUGUCCGGAUUUAUUGGGCGUAAAGAGCGUGUAGGCGGCCAAACAGGUCAGCUGUGAAAACUCGAGGCUCAACCUCGAGACGUCGGUUGAAACCGUUUGGCUAGAGUCCGGAAGAGGAGAGUGGAAUUCCCGGUGUAGCGGUGAAAUGCGCAGAUAUCGGGAAGAACACCCGUGGCGAAGGCGGCUCUCUGGGACGGUACUGACGCUGAGACGGCGAAAGCGUGGGGAGCGAACAGG